rnacentral:rRNA from 1 species
UACGUAGGGUCCGAGCGUUGUCCGGAAUUACUGGGCGUAAAGAGCUCGUAGGUGGUUUGUCGCGUUGUCCGUGAAAACUCACAGCUCAACUGUGGGCGUGCGGGCGAUACGGGCAGACUGGAGUACUGCAGGGGAGACUGGAAUUCCUGGUGUAGCGGUGGAAUGCGCAGAUAUCAGGAGGAACACCGGUGGCGAAGGCGGGUCUCUGGGCAGUAACUGACGCUGAGGAGCGAAAGCGUGGGAGCGAACAGG